rnacentral:lncRNA from 1 species
CGCACCACUGCAUUCCAGCCUGGGUGACAGAGGAAGAACCUGUCUCAAAAUAAAAAAAUAAUAAUAAAAAAAUAAAAAAAUCACCCUCAUUUCCAUGGCCAGUAAUAAAAAGAGAAACAGAAAUUUUAAUACAGGAAUGAUUACUGUAUUUCUUUGUGGGAAUUGUGGUAAGUUGGUAUUUCAGAACAGGCAUGUAACCCCUUCUGCCCAAUGACACUGGAGGGAAAGUCUACUGCUGGGUAGGGGUGGGGCUUUAGAGAACGGCUUCAUGUUACACAUCCUUCACCAGAGCAUUUUCUUCUGAAAAUCCUUUGUAGCAGAUUCUAUUAGCUUCAGGUAACAGGCAAUUAUGUGCUUUAAGAGAGAACCCCUCUCCCAGGAAGUGAACGUGAUUGGCACACCAACUGGGGUAAUUCAUCUUUCCAGGGAUUAAUUUAAGAAAGGGCAUGUAAGACUGCUUUAACCAAAGAGACAUGAGGGGAAGUCUGCUUGAAAGGAGAUUUACCAUGAGCAUGUGAUGCUUAGGCUACGGCAGCCAUCUUGGUACCCUGAGAAGAGUCACCCUAAGAGAAGAUGCCAGCAUUCUAGGAAAAGCAGGGCGGGGAUGGAGAAAAAAUCCAGGGCCUGGAUGACAUUGCUGAGCUGCUGAGUUAACCUAGAACUAUCCUAACUCAAGAUUUCUCUUUAUAAGAAUCUCUCUUGCAGGAGUAACACAGGCAUGUGGAGAAUUUCUCAGAGUAUUUCCGCAGCAACCAACUGGCAUGAAGAAUACUUUGCUGAAACAUGGGGUUCAAAAGCAGCCCACAGCUCUCUUUCAGACCUCUGAAGUCACACCCAGUGGUCUAGUCAACAUUUCCUCUUGCAGAGAUUGUAAAGGUUUCAAUCUUAACACCAUGUGACUAAUUCGGUCUCUAUGAUCAAAGCCUUAUAAGAAAGAAUGACUGGUUGACCCGACAUGGACCAAGUGACCGUUCUUGUUCCCAGUGUGUUGUGGGCUAAGAAGAGAUGGGCACAGAAUGAUGGGAACGCAGAGCGAAAGGGCCCAACUCUACCAGGAGGGGAAGAUAAAAACUCCUGAAGAAAUUAUACAAAAAUAGAAUACUUACAACAGAAUUCUCAACAUCAUUUUUCCCUGUUUGAAUCCAGCAAGUCAGCCAUUGGUCACUUAAGAGCACUAACCCCUCCCUGGUUUGAAGAUGUUCUUGACUUUAAAUACAAACAUCUGAUAUUCCAGCUUAGACUCCUCCACAAGAACUAGAGUGUCAUCCUAUUUUGGCUUCCAGCUCAGUCCCUCUGCUACAAGUCUUGACUCCAGAACUCUGUGGGAUAAUAAAAUACAAGAUCAUAGCUUGAAAAUAGAGCGUGCAUCUGGUGUGGUUUGUUGUUUUGGCUUAAUUAGGACUUGCCGUUUCCUGAAUUCCUGUAAUCUCAUUUGAUGAAUUGUGUUGGUUACUUGCUCUGCAGGCUUUGAGCAUGUGGCACAUAUCAGAGGAAAUGAUUUCCCCUUUCUUCUUUGAAAAUCAUCUUCUGGUGCAUUAAAAAAAGAAAGCCAAUGUUUUUGGAUUUCUUUAGCUGUCCAUAGAAUUAC